rnacentral:lncRNA from 1 species
ACAAACUUUCGCCUUUAUAAUAUUAGUAUAGAAAACCAUAUCUAGCAUUUUGCGUCUAUUCCUUAAUGGCAUAACCUUAUAAGAUUGUAGACGUGAGUCAUACGAGUUUAACUCACGACAUUUGUUGUCGCUGAAAGCCAGAUGGUAAAUAAAACGCUUCUGAACACGCUCCAAUCUGUCACAGUGAACUGUGUAAGUAGGGCACCAUACCGGGCUGCAAUAUUCCAGGAUACUACGCACUAAAGAAUAAAAUAUGGUAAUAGAUAGAUUCGGAUCUCUGAAAAGUUUUAAUUGACGCGAAAUAAAACCUGACAAUUUUGAUGCCUUUUUC